rnacentral:misc_RNA from 1 species
GCCCUCAACAACAGGAUCAUUCCCAGUGACCAUUACAGAUUCCUGAAAUUCCUGCCUAAAAGCUGCAUCACGGGACAAGACUGAUGUUUUAUCAGGUACUGCACUCAAUGCAUCUGAUAUGAGAGCCACCACAAGGGAGAAUAGAAGACUAUAUGUUAUCUGAUGGCUUAAAGUGUCAGUGCUACCACUAAGCCCUGCUGCACUAUCCUUUAGAGUAGAAAAGACGUCCUUCACAUCUUUAGGGCUUGCACGCACCACCAAAACAGAAAGGACAAGGCAAUGAGCCAGAAUGAGCCUUUCCCUGGAAACAACAGCUCUCCUUUCCACCAAAGCUCCUCUUGAAUCAAGAAUAUAGCGUUCACAGUUAGGCCCACCCAAACCAGAUGGCUCUUCUCGAUUGAGUUCCUUUAUGAGUGAGAUUAACCGCUUUCUAACUCCAGCAUUAAUGAGAUCGUCCAAAAAUCUCUGAAUAUCUGCCACAAGAUCAGGUUCCAGUCCUUG